AAAUUGCUAAUAUUUAUGGGUAGUCCUAAAUGGACUUAAAGGGAAGACGGUGAAAAUCCGUCGCGGGCCCGCCGCUGUAAUUGGGAACGAAAACCGCAGAUUGCCACUGCUCUAUUGAAGUG
rnacentral:ncRNA from 2 species